UCUAAACGACUCUCGGCAACGGAUAUCUCGGCUCUCGCAUCGAUGAAGAACGUAGCGAAAUGCGAUACUUGGUGUGAAUUGCAGAAUCCCGUGAACCAUCGAGUCUUUGAACGCAAGUUGCGCCCGAAGCCUUCUGGCUGAGGGCACGCCUGCCUGGGCGUCA
rnacentral:rRNA from 4 species